GGAACUGGAAAAUGAGAGAAAAGAAGAGCAGCAGCGAUCUCGGCUCAACACAUAGGCUCUGAAGAAGUCCUCUGUGGCUCACAGAGAAGUGAACUUAGAGGCACAGACAGGGAAUCGUGGCAUAUCAUAGAGUCAUAGAAGGGCCUGGGUUGCAAAGGACCACAGUGCUCAUCCAGUUCCAACCCCCUGCUAUGUGCAGGGUCGCCAACCAGCAGCCCAGGCUGCCCAGAGCCACAUCCAGCCUGGCCUUGAAUGCCUGCAGGGAUGGGGCAUCCACAGCCUCCUUGGGCAACCUGCUCCAGUGGUUGCGUUCAUCCCUUGAGAUGUGGCAUCCCCAGAACUGUCAUGCCAUACGAGGCGUGAUAAACCACACUGACACCACGCUUUGUCUUUCAGGAGAGCCCAGGAGAUGCAUAGAAGCCCUCCUGAGCUGUGCAGGAUGCAGGAGCCCAAGGGUUGGCUGCAGCCCGGAGAGCUCUGAAGGACCCAUCUCUGCUUCCCAGGCCUGGCCCGUCCGUUCCGUUCGUUAUAAAUAACAACGUUUAGAUUUGCUGGAAUAAAGCUUUUCCUCCUGUUUCUAAUGGUGGUAAACAUCCUCUUGUGGGCUCCCCACGGGCUGCUGGCACUGUCCCUGCGCUGUCCUGACACCUCUCAGAGCCCUGACGUGGUGUGAAGGGCUGGGGUGGUAAUAUGGGACAGCUGGGGGAUUUCUGAAUGCAACCCCACACCCGCGUGUGGGAGUUUGAGAAGAGAGGGCACAUAAAUGGGGGGAUUUGGGGCUACUGAGGAAGAGAUGACGCGUAAAUGUGGGUAUUUAGGUGGGAAUUGGGUCUUAUUGAGGAAGAGAGGACGUAAAUGUGGGGAUUUGGGUCUUAUUUAGGAAGAGGAGACACAAAUGUGGAUAUUUAGGUGGGAAUUUUGGAUCUUAUGAGGAGACGAUGCAAAGAUGUGAAUAUUUAGGUGGGAAUUUGGGUGUUAUUUAGGAAGAGAACACACAAAUGUGGGAAUUUGGGUCGUAUUUAUGAAGAGAAGAUACACAAACGUGGAUAUUUAGGUGAGAAUUUGGGUCUUGUUUAUGAAGAGAGGACACACACACGUGUGGGAAUUUGGGUCUGCUUGUGAGGAGAGGGUACGAAAAUGUGGGAAUUUGGGGUCUUAUGAAGAGAAAAUACACAAAUGUGGGUAUUUAGGUGGAAAUUUGGGUCUUGCUUAUGAAGAGAAUGCAUAAAUGGGGGAAUUUGGGUCUGUUUGUGAGGAGAGGGUAUGAAAAUGUGGGAAUUUGGGGCCUUUUUUAGGAAGAGGACACACAGAUGUGGGUAUUUAGGUGGAAAUUUGGGCCUUGUUUAUGAAGAGAUGACACAUAGAUGUGGGAAUUUGGGUCUUAUGAAGAGAGGAUACACCGAUGUGAAUAUUUAGGUGAGAAUUGGGGUCGUUUUGUGAGGACAGGACACACAGAUGAGGGCAUUUCGCUCUGAUUCAUAACAACGCGUCCCACCAUCGCUCCCUCACGGAACCCACCUGGCGCCAAACGGCCCACAGCAGCGCGCGAACCGCCCGCUGCGACGUCAUUGCUGCGCGCCGCCGCGCCACGUCACUACAGUGCG
ensembl:lncRNA